rnacentral:tRNA from 1 species
ACAUUGAUAGCUCAAUUAAGAGCGCAGCACUGAAGAUGCUGAGGUGGCAACUUUGCCUCAAAGU